rnacentral:rRNA from 1 species
UACAGAGGGGGCAAGCGUUGUUCGGAAUUACUGGGCGUAAAGGGCGCGUAGGCGGCCGCCUAAGUCAGACGUGAAAUCCCCAGGCUCAACCUGGGAACUGCGUCUGAUACUGGAUGGCUUGAAUCCGGGAGAGGGAUGCAGAAUUCCAGGUGUAGCGGUGAAAUGCGUAGAUAUCUGGAGGAAUACCGGUGGCGAAGGCGGCAUCCUGGACCGAGAUUGACACUGAUGAGCGAAAGCUAGGGGAGCAAACGGG